rnacentral:tRNA from 1 species
CAAGGUGUAGCUUAACCCAAAGCAUCCGGCUUACACCCAGAAGAUCUCAAUCUACAUGAUCACCUUGA